rnacentral:rRNA from 1 species
UACCCGCUGAACUUAAGCAUAUCAAUAAGCGGAGGAAAAGAAACCAACAGGGAUUACCUUAGUAACGGCGAGUGAAGCGGUAAAAGCUCAAAUUUGAAAUCUUCGGAAUUGUAAUUUGAUGGAUAAAAUUGCUCUUGACGAAAGUCCAUUGGAAGAUGGCGCCAUAGAGGGUGAUAGCCCCGUAACGUCUCCUUGCACUAUAAUUUUAUUCCAAAGAGUCGGGUUGUUUGGGAAUGCAGCUCAAAGUGGGUGGUAAAUUCCAUCUAAAGCUAAAUAUUGACGAGAGACCGAUAGCGAACAAGUACAGUGAUGGAAAGAUGAAAAGAACUUUGAAAAGAGAGUGAAAUAGUACGUGAAAUUGUUGAAAGGGAAGGGGAGGGAAGAUGUUAAAGGGACUCCUUGCUUUUGCAGGGAUCCCCCCAAAAGUCUUUCCUCUCGCCCGUCUUGAAA